rnacentral:rRNA from 1 species
GAUGAACGCUGGCGGCGCGCCUAAUACAUGCAAGUCGAGCGAUGAGGCCCCUUCGGGGGUACAUCAGCGGCGGACGGGUGAGUGACACGUAGGUGACCUGCCCCGAAGACGGGGACAACCACUGGAAACGGUGGCUAAUACCCGAUGUGCUCGGUAAUUCGGUUUAUCGAGUAAAGCUCCGGCGCUUCGGGAUGGACCUGCGGCCUAUCAGCUAGUUGGUGGGGUAACGGCCCACCAAGGCUAAGACGGGUAGGGGGCGUGAGAGCGCGAUCCCCCACACUGGCACUGAGACACGGGCCAGACUCCUACGGGAGGCAGCAGUCGGGGAUAUUGCACAAUCGGCGAAAGCCGGAUGCAGCGACGCCGCGUGGGCGAUGAAGGCCUUCGGGUUGUAAAGCCCUUUUCUGGGGGAAGAGAAAGGACGUACCC